UAUUCUUUCAAGUGCGUAGUUAUUUUGAGGUAAUUGCUGAACACCAGCACAAGGUUUCUAUUUCGAUAUAUCGACAGUGGAAUUCCAGCUGCACUGCAAAGAAACAAGCAAUAACAACUCUCUCUCUCUCUCCUUCAAGAAACACAGUGGCUCGCUUCCUGAUAGCCGUGUGUCCCAUCAACUGUGCUCCUUCAUAACCUUUCCUGUCUUUUCCAUCUUCUCAACUGACUAUGGAUGCCCAGUGGAAAGAGGAAUGUGGCUGAUUUCCUCCAGCUGUUGCAGACAUAAUCCCAGGGUGAAUGAGAUGUCACAGCAGGAAGAUAUCUGAUCCCGACUCCUCCUCUUCCCAAAAACUGCAGGUGCCAACAUGCCCUGGACAAAAUAUGUGUUGUAAGUCUCGAAAACAUUAAAUACUUCUUUUUUAUAUAAGUGCCAUCAUUUCUGUGCCAGUUGACAGCAUUUACACAAAUGUUAAACACACCGCCAUUUUCACUCCCCUGAAUGCGGCACAGACAUAUUUCAGUAAUGACCAUGCCUCCUUCUUUUAAUAAAAUUACCCUUGUGUUCUCUGUCUGAUUGACAGAGCUGAAAUUCUUACAGAUAAAUUGCAUCUGCCACAGUCAUGACAUUGACAAACAGAGGAGCUCAGGCCUGCCUACUUUUACAAAAAGCUCCACUGUCGCUGGCUCCUUUAAUUGGCUCAGAUAAUUACAUUAAAUAGCUGCUAUGGCUGCUGCUGUUUCUGCUGGUGUACUCAGGCGAGCACUGUCCUCCCACUGUGAGUGGUACUGUACUGAUGCACUGGACUCUCUGAGCUCUCUUUCAGUUAUAUAAAGAACCGGUGCAGCACUCUCUCCAGCAACCUCACCACUUCAAGAGCAUAAUAUGAGGGGAUCUGGGAGGGAGCGGAAGCGGAGGGCGGGAGAAUGAGAGGAGCGAUGGAGUGAAACGACAGAGAGAUUUUCAUGUUUCAUCAUGUUGAAACCUGCAUACCUGUAAAAUGGAAACUUUAAAAAGGACAAAGAAGCAAACGAGGCAGACAAGACAGACAGGACAAGACAAGAGACAGAGAAACAGCUGCAGCAGUUGUUGCUCAUCGCUUAAAUGUACUUGCCAUGAUGUGAUCACCACCAUCAUCGCAUUUUCAUCAUUAGCUUGUGUGAUGCUGUUUGUUAUUGUCUAAUUACCACUAGCUUUGAAUUGUUGUAUUAAGUUUCCACCUUUUCCUGUUGAAACAGCAUCAGCACACUCUCCAUCCUCACUGAUGAUUCAGCAGCAAAUAUGCGUCAUGCGUUGUCUGCUGUUGCAAUGUAUGUGGUUUUUCUGUUUUGAUGAUUAUGGUUCUCCGGGCCAACGCAGAUUACACAUUGAUUUCACAGAAUUUGUUAUGCAUCUGGCAACAAAAUUGCCCUCUUUACACCCUAUCCAUGCAAACUCUGGAAAGGGAGCGGAGGCCUUCCACAUGUAUUGAAUGUUUCGAUUCAGGCGCAAUAUCUCUGUCUCCAUUUACCCUUGUAAAACACAAAUAAAAGCUUCGCAGUUAAGCGAAGAAUAAGCAAGAGAGAAAAAAAACGACAGGGAGAGAGAAAAGUGAAUGGAUAGCAGAGAGAGGUAAGCAUUAAAGCAAAAUAACAUACACACGCUAAUAAAACUCUCAGCAAUACUCUCAAACUAACCAUUUUGUCCAUUUUGUGGACACAUCAUUCCACCCCGUCCUCCUUUGGACACAGAUUUUGUGUCACCAAAUUCCUCCAUUACUCCCACCAGACAAAUGUCAUGAUUCCUAUUUGUCACUUGAAUGUUUUUUGGCAUUUGCGGAAACGAGCAAAGCUCUCAAUUUCUGAGGAGCACAGUCUCAUUAACUCACAGUAAGUGAUAACAAGGAGCUGCCAGGUGUGUACUCUGGCUCGUGCCUCUGAGACACGAGCCAGGUCUGCGUCAGCUGGAGACCACCUCAAGUUAUGUAGUCAAGUUGUCUAACACAAAGUUUUCUCUGUGAGGACAAUAAACCACUGUACCUAUCUAAUCAUAAAAAUAUUCAUUAUUGUCAUCAACAUGAAAAUGUUAUUGUUUAGUGUCAUCUCCACCCUUCAUUAAAUUUUAGUUUGCUGUUGA